UGGUUGAUCCUGCCAGAGGCCACCGCUAUUGGAGUACGAUUAAGCCAUGCGAGUCAAGAGGUCUUCGGAUACUCGGCGGACUGCUCAGUAACACGUGGAUAAUCUACCCUUGGGAGGGGCAUAAACUCGGGAAACUGAGACGAAUACCCCAUAGGCGAAGGAGACUGGAAUGUCUCUUCACCAAAAGGUUUCGACUGCCCAAGGAUGAGUCUGCGGCCUAUCAUGGUAGUAGGUAGGGUAACGGCCUACCUAGCCGACGACGGGUACGGGCCUUGAGAGAGGUUGCCCGGAGAUGGAUUCUGAGACACGAAUCCAGGCCCUACGGGGCGCAGCAGGCGCGAAAACUUCGCAAUGUGGGAAACCACGACGAGGGUACUCCAAGUGCCUCAGCUUUGCUGUGGCUGUUCUCAUGUCUAAAACGCAUGAGGAGAAAAGGCUGGGUAAGACGGGUGCCAGCCGCCGCGGUAAUACCCGCAGCCUGAGUGGUGGUCGUUAUUAUUGGGUCUAAAGCGUCCGUAGCCGGACGGUUAAAUCCAUGGGUAAAUGGGACGGCUUAACCGUCCUAAUUCCGUGGAGACUGGCCGUCUUGGGACCGGGAGAGGUCGGAGGUACUCGUGGGGUAGGGGUAAAAUCCAGUAAUCCUACGGGGACCACCAGUGGCGAAGGCGUCCGACUAGAACGGAUCCGACGGUAAGGGACGAAACCCUGGGGCGCAAACCGGAUUAGAUACCCGGGUAGUCCAGGGCGUAAACGCUGCAGGCUUGGUGUUAGGUUCCCUUCGAGGGCACCUAGUGCCGGAGUGAAGAUGUUAAGCCUGCCACCUGGGGAGUACGGUCGCAAGGCUGAAACUUAAAGGAAUUGGCGGGGGAGCACAGCAACGGGUGGAGCGUGCGGUUUAAUUGGAUUCAACGCCGGAAAACUCACCGGGGGCGACGGUUACAUGAAGGCCAGGCUGAUGACCUUGCCUGAUUUUCCGAGAGGUGGUGCAUGGCCGCCGUCAGUUCGUACCGUAAGGCGUUCUGUUAAGUCAGAUAACGAACGAGACCCUCGCCGUUAAUUGCCACUCAUCCUCUCGAGGGUGAAGCUACAUUAACGGGACCGCUGAUGGUAAAUCAGAGGAAGGAGAGGGCAACGGUAGGUCCGUAUGCCCCUAAUCUCCCGGGCAACACGCGCGCUACAAAGGUUGGGACAAUGGGAAACGACGUCGAAAGACGAAGGUAAUCCUGAAACCCAAUCAGGUUCGGAUUGAGGGUUGUAACUCACCCUCAUGAAGCUGGAAUCCGUAGUAAUCGCCUGUCACCAUCAGGCGGUGAAUAAGCCCCUGCUCCUUGCACACACCGCC
rnacentral:rRNA from 1 species